CAAAGGCUUGCUUUACUCAUAUGGAUCGAGAUGACAAAGAUAGAGGGUGGGAAGCAGAGGAGAAACCACACAAGAAGAUAUCUGAAAGCAUUGGGUGUAGCACUAGGUGAUUGUGGUAUUCUCUCUCUCUCUCUCUCUCUCUCUCUCUCUCUCUCUCUCUCUUUCAGAGACACACACACACACACACACAUUGAGAUUAAACAAGGUCACUGGCAAGGAGAAAAAACCAAAGAGAAACGGCUACCAUUUGAGACAAAGAGGGGUCGUAUGCUGAGGUCUGCACUGAUGAGAAAAACAAGUGGCGUCUUUUACGUGGUUUGCACAUGGGGAAAAGUCAUGUGAAAGAUGGACAUGUCUUCGAGUAUACCGUGAUGCCUGGCAGUCUUAAGGUUUUAGAAUUAGGAAACAGCUGUAACAAAGUGUUCAGAUGACAGAGAAGUAAAGCAGGAAGAAGAACAUGAGCUCUACUACUUCCAUGGCGAAGGCAGUAUGGGAUGAACGAGUCAUGGGGAGGCAUGAGCAGAACCCAACCAGUCGGGUGGUGGAAAAGUGAGAUUGGGAUAGGGGUCUACUUGGAAGCGACACACCACAUGCAUGCACAUGGUGUGCCCAAGGCCCGCUGCCUCAAACAUCUCCUCUAUUGUACUCCAACAUGCAAAACCAUGGCACAUAUUUCCAUCUGAAUUGAAACAACAACCAUGCACAAGCAAGAAUAUAGGAUCUCCCUAGCAACACAACACAUUCAAAGGACAAGCCCCUGCUACAGGUAAGAAUGAUUUUAACUUGUGAGAAUUCAACAAGGAUGAACAUUGGCACUGUACAGUAUACAAGUAUACGAUGGUAUGCCACAGCAUGAGGACAUAAAAAGUCUCCAUCACAAAAUGCAGGUUAAUGUUGAACAGGAAUAUCCAUGCAAAUUAUAUGUUCUUCAACAAAAACUAAUAAAUGGCUUUGUGACAGUAUAUUGACGUUUCAAUAUCAUGUUUGAAGAUUGCAUGAUGCAUAACAGAAGAUCCAUUUUUGAAAGAAGAUUUCCAAUGAGAAAAAAAAAAUGUUAUUUAGGUUGAUCGAAUCACCUUAACACCAUUUUCUGAGGUGAUUUCGUCUUUCACUGACCUCAGACAGACAGACGGAUACAACAGCUCUGCAAGAGAUCAUGUCAUCCAGAAAAAAGUAGGUCAGCAAGACGAGGGAAAUAUGAUGGUGGAUGUGGGUGCUCAACCUUUUCUUUCUAACCCCAGUGGACUUUGGGUAAAGGAAAUCAAGUCCCACAUGGUAUCCACAUGGAAGCGUGUCAUCUCUGUAGCUCCACAUGACUCCCUGCUCUUCCCAACUUCAUCUCCUGAAAGAAAGAAAGAAAGAAAGAAGCAAUGAUCAUGGUCUCAAGUGUACAUGCCUUUGAGCAUUCGCAUCAUAUUACAUAUCCUUUUGUUUCUUUACUUCUAGGAAUGGCUCUCUUGAUUAUUGACAUCAGGGACCAUUGCUUUGGUAGAACAAAAGCAUACUUGUUCAAAGUAUUACUUUGUCUUGAGACAAUGAAGAACUGAAUCUGUCCUUUGUUGUGGACAAAGAGCAUGGAAACAAGCCAACAACCAUAGAUUUUGGAUUUCUUAUUACCAAGGCUUGGUAAUUCCUUGAAGGAAUUUACAGCUGCUCCUAUGUACAGGCAACAAUUAAGCAGAGCUUACGACACAACUCAUGAAUUAAUAGAUCAUUGAUAUGACUAGAAUGAAACCUUGAUUCCACUUUUUUUCUCUUGAAAUAAUUCUACAGAUUUUUAUUUCUGAUUUGAUGGUUUUUUUUCAUGACCCAGGCAGGAAAGCUGAUCAACUGUUAACUUCCCAGGAAUCUAAUGCAUCUGCAGAGCUUCCACACUUCCCGAAGUUGGAAGGACAAAUGAGAAUCACCUUCAAUGGCCCUUUACAGCAUGUGGGUCCUUGCACCUUGCCCUAUACCAUUACAAGGAUUAUUUUAUCUAUGCUACCCUUAACUAAGGACCACAUGAUAAGGUACAUAUUACUAGUACUGAAAUGUGUGCUUAGGGGGUGCCUUAAACCACAUUGUUCUCUCACAUGGAUGGGCUCCCC
rnacentral:lncRNA from 1 species